UAACCCACAUAGAUGGAAAUCAGCCUUGGGGCAAUUCUUUCCUUUAGCUGAUGGAACAUGAUAUAUACAGCUUGGAGCUAGGUUCCUCCACAGCACAGCUAUUUGUAUGCAUUCACUUUAUCACAUUUUUAGGAAUUUUGAUAGCAUCUGAUAGGUUUAGAUUCUGAGAGGCAUUUCCUUUGAGCCACCAGCAUCUUCAUGGCAGCUGGAGCACUGGCUAUAAUGAUCUGUUCCAGCCUCCUUAUCUUCAGUAGCCUUCCAUAUCUCCAAUCUGCCUGUGUCUCUGCAUACUGAGAAAUGAUUGUGGUUGUCAAUCAUAUGUGCCUUACUCUCAUCCUCCCCAGCUGUGGGUUCCGUCACUGAGAUCAGACUUGGUAGACCAUAUCCAGGGAUUUGAUUGUAUUGACUUGAAGUGAAUAUUGCGUUUGCCUUCAGAAAUCUCUUUCUUUCCCUCCAUCUUCCUUUGUGCAGGUCCUUUAUCUCUCAGAGCCUGUUUUCUGGCCAGCUGCAGCCUGAUGUUUACUCAGCUGGGGUGAAUAACUUUCCUUUCUGUGUGUCUGAUGUGCUGCGUGUUGUCAAUACAUGGGCCAAUGGAGAUGUCCUCCCUGCUCCAUCCAUAUCAGCUUCUGACCUGACUUAUCUGUUGGCAGACCAGCAGCACUGAAGUCAGUGUGAAUGCAGGCAUCCAUAGAAACGUGUUCUCAUACAGCAGAGGGACUGAGCUGUCAUUGCCUUGAGAGCACCUGGUGAGGUUUGGUCAGCUUUCCAAGAUGAUAACAUGGAGCCUGAAGACCAAGUGCUGAAGACAGAAGGAACUGCAUCCUUGCUUUGUGAGGCAUAGGGAUUCCAAAGGCCAUGAUUAGAUAGCCUUAAUUUUACCUAAGCUUACUGCUUCUUGUCUUUUUAUUUAUUUGCCAGAAGUAAAAGACAGUGGACUUUUCUGUAUCAUGAAGCUGAAGACUGAACGCAGUUGAACACCAAAGGAAGCAAUGGGAAAUAUUUAUCAUACUUGGGGAGAGGGAUCCAUUUUUGCCAUAUGAAAGCAUACAACAAAAGGUUCUGGCAGCUGGAAACUAGGAGAGAGAGCUGGGAUGGGACUUGCUUGCAUCCCACCGAUGAAGAUGAGCACCCAGUCCUCAGGUCCCUGUGUUUCCCAGCCAUCCCCCUCCCUGACAGAUGUCUGUCCUAGGAUGCUGGCUCCCACUCCUAUAUUUGAGAGGUGACAGAUGACUUGCUUCUCCUCCUUUUGCAAGCCUGGGCUGGGCUGAUCUGAUUGCCCUUUUCAGCUGUAGAAAGAUCCAUGUGGACAGGAAGACAUCAGAGAUAUCUAAGACUUCAAGGGCAUGAGAUAAAUGCAAAUGCAUCACUAAUGACUGCUUUAAAAGAAGGUAAAGUAGACCCUAUUGAUUAACGUUAGGCAGUUGCACUGCUGAAUUCUCCUGCUUCCUUCUGAAGCAUUCUGACUUUCUCAGCUAUGCUGUCUGUAAUCCCUUGCUCUGGGAGGGAGCGUGGUGCCCUGACCACACACACACACACUUUGGGCAGCCCCCCCGUUGAGCUGCCGGCACUGCUGAGCCCACUGAGCACUCUGAGCACCUGGGGUCAGUGACACCCAGCUGUCCAAACAGACCCCACAUGCGAGGGCGUGCGUUGGGACCGGCGGGGGAAACCCCACCAGAACCAGACAGCUCUUUGUCUUCAGAGGCAGUGUGGUGGCUCUGGGGCUGCCCUUCUCCUUUGAUCUGAGCCUUCCUCUGCUACUUCACGUCACCCCUGCUUGUUUUCUUCUUUUUGUUUUUCCCUGAUCCUAGGUGGUUCUGAUCUCUGUUCAAGAGUUGAUCUCCACCUUAGCAAUGCUACCUUGGGCUUUGAAAGGAAUCUGACAACAUGUCCUUCCUCCGUAAGUAACUCAGCUUCCAUCAAAGUGGUGCCCUGUUCCCCAUCCAAACACUUCACCUCUGUGCUGGGUGACUUCAGCCCAUCCCAGAAGACCUAGCUGGGAGGCAGCAGGAAAACACCACUUCUCUUGCAUUUUGCACAUUUUCAUCAAUAUCGUCUCACAUUUUACUUUGCCCUAUGGAAACAUCACAAAAGUCACUUCUUACUCUGAAUAUCCCUUUACUUCAGUUGGUACUUCAAUGGGUACUUCACUUUCCCAUCUCUAAGGUAGCUCCCUCAAAAAAUAAAAUGGGAUCCAGCCAUUCUUUCUUGCAUUAGUCAGACAUUCUGGAACAGGAAAAACACACACAUUUAUUCAUCCCCUCUAAAUACAUUUGUUUUUAGUUUAGAUCUAUUCAAAACGAGACCCAGUGUGGACAUCUGUCUUAUUAUCCAACAGUAGGUUAAAAAAAAUAAACUCUGCUGGCUCCGUGGGAGGAAUGCAGAUAAAUGACAGAUGGAGGCAAGCAGUGGACUUCCAGAAGCUUUCAUCCAUGAACCAGCUAAUGGGGCUCAGUGCACAGAACAUCCACCCCAUGCUUUUGCAUCUUCCAGAGCAAUGAAGGAGUUGGACAGCACUCUAUCUGCAGUGUAGCCGUCACUGAGGUUUGCACUGCAGACAUGCUCAGGCACACUAUGUGAGAGACAGAGGUCAACUAAUAUACCAAGGAAAGAGCGUUGCCCAUAACCCAGGAGGAUUGGACUUGACGGAUGUUUCUGUGUCAGAUUCUGGAUGGUACCAAUGGGCCUUAAUUCCCCCAAGUAGCCACAUCUGGAAUCCCCAACUCAUAAACCCUCUUCCCUUGGGCUCAGGGUCUCCAUUUUACCUCACAACAGAGCUACAUGCUCUUGUCUUUGCCUCCUGGGUGGACCUCAGGCUUAUUUACGGACUUACCUGCAGCCCUGUCCUUCAUCAUCUCCUGUUGUCAGCCCCUUGUCUGUGUCGUGACCCUAGGCCUUCCCAUACCUUGCAAUCAGUGUGAAACUGAUAUAAAACCUGAAAUCUCCCUUCUUUGGAUAUGACAGAAUGGCCAUGUUUGUCCGGGAGGCUGUGUCGUGACCCUAGGCCUUCCCAUACCUUGCAAUCAGUGUGAAACUGAUAUAAAACCUGAAAUCUCCCUUCUUUGGAUAUGACAGAAUGGCCAUGUUUGUCUGGGAGGCUGGCAACAUUCCUUGCGAUGGCCAAAAUUGUUGACUUCUGCAAAGCAUCUCUAGGUGCUUGCUGAAAUGUAGUGAAUGGUCAAGGCCAUUCUUGUUCAUUUCCUUAGUGGAAUGCAUGAUCACAACUUGCUAACACAAGUCCUACAGAUCUUGGUACAGAUUUCUCUGAGCUCUGUGUUCAUGUAGUGCCACAAACAAGGCUGCGGGAACAGUGAGGCUCUGUGCAUGGGAUGGAUUUGGAGAGUGGAGAAUACAGCUUUAGGUAUGGCUGGUAGCUGGGUGUGGAUGUGUCGGUGCAGCUGAGUGCUUUCUUAUCCUCCUCGACUUUUCUAUAUUUCCCUCUUCUUUCAUCUGGCAUUUAUGUCUGCUACAUAUGUUCCCCUUUAUACCAUGCCAGAGCUAUGACACAAGAAAAGGGCAGGGAAGGGGUGGGGGAGGGAAAAAUCUCAAAAUGGGAUUUUAUCAAAAUAUUAUCGGAGCACCAGCUGGUGUAGAUUAGCAUAGCACUCUGAGUGAGAGAGCUAUUUUACCUUGUGCUAUUUUUCUCUGGGCUGCACAUGGCCUUUUCUCAAAGUGUGAAGGUUGUGGCCAGCAGGAUUAAUCUGCUCUUCCCAUCCCCGUUUCUGAAGCCCUGCAGUAUCUCAGCCCAUUCAAAAAUUUGACUGAUCCGGGCUGAGAUGGAAACCAGGUAUCAGUAAGUCACCCAUCCACAGAGGCUGGUUGAAUCUUGCUGGAAAAUGAGAGACGAAGGGUCACAAGAAUGAAAAAUGUGUUGUGCAGACGCUCAUUAGUUAGACAGCUUUGCUGGUGUGCCUGUGCCCCAAGGGUCGGCUUGCAAAGGCAGCAGUGCUGGGCUGGGUCUGACACUCAAAGCACUCGAGGGGUCUGGACACAACUGCUCUGCCCCUUUGCAGGAGAUGGCUUUGUGUCCUGGCUUCCAGCCCAGUGCCAGGCCCUCACGGAGUGGGGAAAGUAUUGCUCAUCCAUCACUGUGUAUUUUUAGGGAUUUUAUUCCUGACUGUAAAGUGGAACCAGCUUUUAGAAGCGGAGGAUAAAGAUUUGGCUGGGAACAUCUGAGCUGGAGGACCAAUAACUUGGGAGCUGCUCGGAAGUGUUUGAUCUGUCUCAGGCCCGCAAGUGCUGAGCAAACGCCUGCCUUGAAGUGGAAGUUAUUUUAUGCAUCCACUGGAGUCCUCUAAAGCCAUUUCCUCUGGGACCUCUGGGGACACUCUGGGCAUCUAUUUUCUCAGCAAUACCAAUGUGUGAGUGCAAAGGGAAGGAGGAUGUGCUGCGUGACAAAUGUCAGGGUGGGCGUGGGGCUGUGUCUCCAAACAGCCUUGUAGGAGUGCUACAAUUGCCUCCUGUCCAUCUGCAGAUGCCUCGAUCUAUAGAUGCCUUGAAUACCUUGUGCAUCCCUCCUCCUUGUUCCAGCACCUCUCUGUUCAACUUGUAGCUGCUUCUAGGAAGCUUUCAUCUCUUCUUUGGAGCAGAACUGUAUACUCAGCUCCUUUUGGUCUUUCUGGGGAUCCCACCCCUAUAUUUAAGUAUAUAAAAUCCUGAAAAGUGAAGGCACAAAGGCUGUUCUCAAGGAGUGCUGCCAUCUCCCAGGCAGUAAGCCUGGCGCUGGAGGCUGGAGAGGCAGCGAGCAAGUUUCCAUCAAGAGGGUGUCCCUUGGCAAUGGGAAAGGUGAUGUUCCCACCUGCCAAGUGAUGCCUUUUUGCUCUCGCAUUCGUCUGAGCCAAUUAUUUUGUUUGCCCUGGAAGUCCCUUUGCAAAGGCUGAAGGAAAGCAAAACCACCUCUCCCAGCACCAGCUAAGUGCUAAAGCAGAACCUGCAAGGUGCAGUGCUGGGACGUGUAAGUGGGAGAAGGCCUGGCAGGAGGUUUCAUUCUCCAGUUCUGCCCGGAGGCUUUUCCCUUUGGAGCCCACUGAGGGCCAGCAGGGAAAUGAUUCCAAUUCCAGGCUUUCCAGCUUCCACGCUAAUUUAACCUGAACCAUUUCCUACUCUCCAAGCGGGAAGCAGGGAUGAGGUUAGCAGAUUCAGAUUGGGGGUGGACUGAAAAUGAUAUCAGCAGUUUUAUGGCCAUUUCUUUUCUUGGCAGGACAUGAGGGAGACCGUCUCACAGCCGCUAGGACAGAAGGUGGAAGAAUGCAAACGCUGAAACAUUUUUCAGUUUGUCCUGAUUAUCUUUCCUCCUCCAGCAGUUUUAUUAGGGUUCAUAAAUUCUUCUUUAGAGCACUCAUUCCCCCAUGCAUUUUAACCCUCGGCAGCCUUGGAGGUCACUGUAACCCUGUGGGGUUGGUGGCUGUCCAGGAGAAGCCACCCUGCCCCAUCACAGCUGGCUCUGACCGAAGAGAAUGGAAAUCACUGCACAAAAAGGGCUCUGAGGCACAUGGAGCCCUUCCACUGGCUCAAGUGUAAUAUAAAUAACAACCUUAAUCAUGCAGUGAAAUUGGUGGGUGAAGAUAUGACUGAGGAAUCUGAUAUUGCUUUCAGAAGAUUUUCAGUGCAUCAGUGCUGCUCUCCCCAGCGUGGCAGGAAAGCAUGGAAAAUUCCUCCGUCACCACUGCUUGGUGCCCUCCUAUAAUGAGUAGUCGUUGAGGUAAUAGUAACCCUUUUGGCAAAAGCACUUGCUCCAUGGAAAGCCAGGAUAUAUCCAGUAAUGCAGGGGAGUGCCAUAAAGCACAGCUCAGUAGGAACCUGUUAAAGCGAUAACCUCUGCUGGCCUGGCACGCUGCUUCACCAACAGUCCCCAGCUCCUGAAGGCAGUGAUGCUAAGUGAAAUAUUCAGGGGAGGUUAAGGUCGGAUAUUACGAACAGUUUCUUCUCAGAAAGAGCAGUGAGGCACUGGAAUGGGCUGCCCAGGGAGGUGGUGGGAUCGCCAUCCCUAGAGGUGUUCCAGAACCAUGGAGAUGUGGCACUGAGGGAUGUGGGCAGUGGGCAUGGUGGGGUGGGCUGGGGUUGGACUUGGGGAUCUGAGAGGUCUUUUCCAACUUGAAUGAUCAUAUGAUUAGAUAGCUGCUGUUUGUUAGGCAGUCUUAUUCUUGUGGCAGUCUUAUUCUUGUGUCCCCUUGGGAGAACAGCCCUGAAGGCUGGUGGCCUUGAACUGGCAGCUUCUGCUGUGGACACCAUCCCCUCCUUCCCAGUUUGACCUUCUACCAAGCCCUGAAGCAGGCUGAUUUGAGAUCAAUUCUUGCAGCUAUAGCCUAGCAAUCCAUUUGGCUGCGUGGUUUUAUAGCCAGUACAAUAGGAUACAAUUAGUUUGUCAUGCACUUGGUGCAUUAUUCGCUUGCUGUUUGCUGCAAAGGAGGAGAAAGCUGAAAAAGUACAGUGGUGAGCUAUGUUGCUUUGGAACAAAAUAUUUACAUUUUCCACAUUUCCCAUAAGGCAUUAGCACUCUUCCAAAUGUGACACAGGAGAAGCAAAUGCUUAGUGGUCUGCGGAUCUAACGUUUGCUUAAGUACCAUGACAUAUGUGCGUAUGUGUGUACACACACGAGAUAUUUUAGUUCUACUAUUUAAAUUAAGGGUGGGAUACCCUUCAGCACUGCAUUUCUCAGCAUAUGUGUUCUUAUGUUCACUUAUUCUUUGUUUCUGCCAAUGCCUAAAUAAGGAAUACUAAACAGCCACAAAUAUGCAGCCAGUGGAGACGCAGGAAUUCACUGGGAGGGAGCAAAUGCUGAUCUUGAGCUGAUAGGUUUGCAAGGGAAAGAGUCACUGCAGCUGCAGGAGAGAUUUCUGUGGUGGUAUCUGUCUGUAAUGCACAUCACAGCCCCGCUUUGCCUUCAGGGCAAAGCUGAAGCUUUUAGAUGGAGAGCAAGUCGUUUCAAUGCCACAUCAGGGAUAUAUGUAUAUAUAUAUCCACAUAUAUAUACACACACAUAUAAGAAGCACCUGUUUGCACAAUGUUGAUGGUAUUCUCUGCAGCUCUGAGCUGGAACACUGGGCUUGCAAGGAUGCCCAGAUGGGCUGCGUGUGCAGGCAUAGGGGACCACACAUACAUGCCUACAUUUAUUCCCAUUAUUCCCUUGACUUAGAGCUUUAAAGUCACCUCCUCAGUCUCAUGCCAGCUACACAAUGUAAGGAUGACACAGUCAGGCCUUAAAUUUCCUACCUUUAGGAAAAUGCACAUGAAUUUGACCUCACAUUUGUUUUUCUGGUCAAAAAAUGAAAAGUCUAUGGGAAAGCAGCUUGUCCUGGAGCUCACUGCACUGGAGUAUUUCCUGUUAAAGUACAAUGAUCAGCUUGGAAAUUAAAGGGCAGAGAUGUCCCAGUUUGCUUUUCUAUGAUAUCUCUACACUCAUAGUGAUUGAAAUUGCUUUUGUGAUUCUUAUUUUAAAGCUGGAGCAAUUUAAGCACCAAGUAUCUGCUGUAGUGGAAAUGCUGAGUCACAGCCUGAAGCAGUGAUGGAGCACCUGGUGGAAAGGCAGGGCCAACCCAGGGGAGCUCAGGUGCAUGCAGUGCACCUGAGUGAUUGGAAGGGAUGGAGCCACCCCUUCCCAGACCUCAUUUAAGGGUUGGCAGUGGAGGUGAGGGCAUCUCUUGUCUGCCUACCUGAGGCCUUCUAAAGGCAAAUAGCUCUUUUCUUUCAUUUUUGCAUCUGUGGCUGCUGCACUUGGGCUCACUCUCAUUUGCUGCAGCCAAAGACUUUGCCACCCUACUAUUAUCAGCCCAUUAUAGCAUUAUGCCUGCUUGCCAGUUUUUUGUCUGUUCCUCAGGUUCUCUGAGGGUACAAGGAACAACAGCUUUUCAGAGUGGGUUCUGCUUCCUGUCUUUUCCCACCUUUGUCCAUGCAGCAUACGUAAAUGUUUCCUCACCUCAGUCCUUACAGGGACGUUGUUGGCCAGGAGAGAUCUGUAAUGCAGAGGUUGGGCAAAUCAUACAAUCACUAUGGUUGGAAAAGGCCACUAAGAUCAUCAAGCCCAACUGUCAGCCCAACCCCACCAUGCCCGCUGACCACGUCCCUCAGUGCCACAUCCCCACGGUUCUGGAACACCUCCAGAGACAGUGUGAUAUCACCAGUUGGACUGGAUGAUCUUAGUGGUCUUUUCCAGCCUUAAUGAUUCCAUGAUAAUAUGUUAUGUAACAAUUAUAGUAUAAUAUAAAUUGUAUUUAAUGGAGAUGCUGCUCUGGGUGUGAUUCAGCUGCAAGGGAAUCCAUCCCAUCUCUUGCAGGGUUUGUGGGGUUGGUAUGUGAUUUCCAUGCCACUGUGCGUGCACCACUAUACACAGCACAUUGCCCCAUCUUUGUUGCUGCGCUGCCCAACUCUCAGCUCAGGGAAAAGAAAGUCUGAGCUGAUAAGAAAGAUAACUGUUCUGAAGAAGGGAGGCAGAGGUUAAGGAGUGCCAUCUUUUGCGAUCCAUGAUUUGAGGUGGGAGCUUGCAGCCAGGUCCCCUCCGUGCCCAUUCUUCUGCCCUCUUCGCAUCCUCUCCUCCCAUUUUCCACCCCACCCUUGGAGAGGGGUAUGUCUGCUUACCUCCCUUUGCAGCAAGGGCAGAGGAAGAUGAGGAGCUUGGCUGGGGCAUGGAUGGAGCAGCCCAGGGUGCAGCAUCAACAGCCCCAGCCCCUACUCCCCCCCAGGCAGCAUUUGCAAAAGAUCAAAGCGUGCAGCAAAAAUAGCAAAAGGGAAGAGCUUGUGGGUUGGACAUCUGGAGGCCAGAAGCAGCUCCUGCUUUUGAGUAGGCAAGAGGUGAAGGAGGAAGGGUAAAAAUGGGUUUACGGUCUCGCUUCUUUUACUGGGAUUAAAAACUUCUUAUAAAGUUAUAUGGUUUGCUGUUAUUUGAGAAAGCAGUGUCCUAUGUCUCUGUAAGGUCCUAAUUUCAGAAGCAGGGAUGCUAAUGACACCUAUAAAAAUAGAGAGGUGGGUAUUUUCUGGCAGUCACAAUGCUGAUUUAUCUGUGGUGCAUCAUCUGACAACCUUAUUUUUAUUCCAAGGGGCACAAGGAGGCUCCUGGGAAAUGUCUGUGCUGCUAAGCUGAAUAAAGCAGGUGCUAUUUCCUUUUGCAGCUGGAUGUUUUCAACUAUAAGAACUCAGAAACAAGCCCAAACCUAAGGGGAUGGCUGGGUCACAGCCCAGUUUUUCAAAGCCUUUGCAAAGAAACUGGAGACAGGCAGACUAGAAGUCAAAGUCCAACCUCUGGACAGUGCUGCCAAGAGUGCAAUCAAAUAUUGUGCCCAUUUCCACCAAAUAAGUGUGCCAGUGUCAUUGCAAUGCAUUAACGUACAAACAGUACAUUGCAACGUUGGGUUCACUCUGCAAAUGGAGCUGAGUGAGCAAAGUGUUUCACGCCAUUAUGUGUGUCCAAAUGGGAUGAAAACCUCUGGAGGCAGCAUAGCGGGACAUUCUCUGGUGAAAACAUUUACCAUGGAAAAAUGCAAUUUGCAGGGGAUGAUUUGCAUCCAGCACGAUGAACAAUUUUGGCCACAGGAAAAAUAAGCUGAAGUGGAGGGAAGGAGGUUGGAAUGGAAACAGACAGAUUUGAUUGGUUUUCUUUUAACAAAAGAAGCCGUAAGUUAAACACUCUGUUUGUGACAAGAUGUACCAUCUUAUCCCAGGCAGGUUGGAAUUCUUUUUCUUUCCAUCUUUUUCCUUUUUGAUUUUUCCCUUCUCUGUUCAUUCUGUUGGGAAAUGUUUUGUGGAUCAUGGCAUGGGGAGGUUUGGGACUCUGUGUUCCUUUCUGAGCUUCAUCAUCGUUAUCACUUUGCCAUUGUUUGUCUUGAUGUAGGAUCAACAACUGUCUCUCUCCUUGGUCAAAUGGUGGAACUGCUUCUUUCCUCUUCCAGUUUUGCCUCCUGGUCAUUAAAGUGGGAAAUAUCUCUCAUUCAUUUGCAUUGGUUUGACCUGUGCUCCUGGUUUUCUUUCCCAGCUAGGGACAUGGUUGUUGCUCCCAGCCAAGUGCCAGGUGUAUGGCAUGUGAUGACACCAAGCCCUGCCAGGUUGCAUGUUUCAAUGCUUGUGUUGUGCCACUUUCAUUAGCGCACUGAUUAACCAUUUCCCCGUGGUCUAAUGAAUUCCACUUGCCCAUUGCUCACUGAGCAUACCCAGAAAUCACAGCAUUGGGCAAUGCUCACUGGGAUACUUAAGGAAGA